GCUGGUUUGCCUUAUUUGCAGAGAAUCUACAGCAGACCAUCUUCUCCAACCAUUCCAAGGCCUUCUCAUCACUACUUUCAACAAUUGGGAAUUUCGGUCUUGAGAAACUUACUUGCAGAGGAACCAGUUUCAUGUCCAUUGACUCCACUUUUGAUUACAGAAAUUGAGAAGAAAAUUGGGUUUUGUAUUGAGAAGAAAAUUGGGUUUUGUAGGGGAUGUGGGCAGCGUCUACUUCAGGCCCAACCAUCCUAUGAAGCCACAUCGGCUAUAUUGUUGAGGUUUGGAUUUGGUAUUUGGAUAGCCUUGUUGAUUAUUCUCAGCGGACCCACAAGGCAUAUCUGGUGGAGUUGGAAGAAGCUGUAGACUCAGUUUGACUGGUGGAGUGAGCUUGACAGCUAUUGUUGGUAUUGAUUGCAGGAGCUAGAC